rnacentral:tRNA from 1 species
GCCUUCGUGGUGUAGCGGUCAGCACUCUCGGCCUGUAUUCGAGAGGUCCGUGGUUCGAAUCCCGAUGAGGGUA